rnacentral:rRNA from 1 species
UACGUAGGGUGCAAGCGUUGUCCGGAAUUAUUGGGCGUAAAGAGCUCGUAGGCGGUUUGUCGCGUCUGCUGUGAAAACUCGGGGCUUAACUCCGGGCCUGCAGUGGGUACGGGCAGACUAGAGUGCGGUAGGGGAGACUGGAAUUCCUGGUGUAGCGGUGAAAUGCGCAGAUAUCAGGAGGAACACCGGUGGCGAAGGCGGUUCUCUGGGCAUGUCCUGACGCUGAGGAGCGAAAGUGUGGGGAGGCGAACAGG